rnacentral:misc_RNA from 1 species
UUGCAGGAUCGAGGAGGCGUGUUUGAAAGAGCAGGGGUUACAAUAUAGCCUAAUGACCGCGCCACGGAGCAAAAGUCCAUCAUCAGCUUCUUCAAACGCGCGUCUCUCUCUCCUUGGUUGUUCGCGAAGCGCGUUCCUCCUCCUCUUUCAACGAUUCUUCCCUCUUCUUCUUCUUCUUCUUCUGCUUCUUCUCCUUCUUCGACCAAAGAGAUCGGUGAAACUGGCACGACCUUUCGCAGCCACCUCCUUGUGACCUUUUCAAGGCAACGUUCUAACGACUUACGUUCUAUGUGAUGUACUUGUUUCUUGCUAUGUGGAGCGAAUCUACUUCUUCGCUUUACAAACAUGUCACUCUGAGCUUCAAACUUCUGAGCUUGUCCUAUCACGUUCAUUCUGUUUCCCAAAUCUUUCUGCUUCUCGUUUCUAAGGUUAAAGCUAAUUAGAUUCCAGUCACUGACUGCCGAUCCACGUAUAGUUAAAUGCAGUCCUAUAGUUAUAGCAUUACAUUCGUAUAAUUAUCGUCUGUUUAACUGUUUGAAAACGUUGAAUCGUCGGACAAGGGUGAAUACCAUUAAAUGGAUUAAUCGUGUAUCCGAUAUCCCUGUGUAUUCCGAUAGUUGGAAAAGUACGAUCCAUCAAUUUAGUUUCUUUGAAACUCAUUGAUAUAUAUGUAUAUAUGAUAUCAAAAAGCUUACAGCAAUUAAUAAAAAACAAACGAUUAAAUAAACGCUCAUAACCUGUUGUAGGAGAAUUACGUUGAUCAAGUAAUAAAAAUUCCUCUACGCAUCAGACGACGAUGAGAUACAGAGUAUGUCAACAUUCCUGAUAACAAUGGUUGUUACAUCGCCACCGAUUCAUUAUGUAACUUCGUUAUUGUUCGCUCGCUGAAACGAAUUUUUCUCGGCUGGGCCUAUUUAUCCUUUGAAUGGAUUACAAUUGCAAUAUUACUCUGUACAGGUUGAUCCGGAGAUCUUUGUAUCUGGUUUGCAAUUGUGACUUUGAAUCGCCGGAGUACUACAAUAUAUACGAGAAAUUCUCGUUCAACGCGUUGUUUGAGGAGACGAUGUGGAUCGACCUUCCCUGCUCGAUUCUUUGUGAUGUAACACCACUGUAGCAUUAUAGCAGCGUAGAGUGGUUACGUGGAUCGGUUGAGUCAUUCAUGAAAAGUUCGUGUAUGCCUAUGUAGAUACGGUAUAAUACUACUGCGUUCCAUAUCUUCCUUUCGACGUAGUAAUCGUGACUUCGUUCUUUC